UUUAAUUGCAACCAUGAGUUUUCGUGUCUAAUUUUGAUCGUUCGUUUUAUUUGAUUUUUUUAUAAUUAGUAUCUUUAUUGUUAUAAAAUGAUAACGCAUGAAUAGUAAUUUACACGUGACUUAUAUUUUAAUUUUUUUAAAUAAGACGGAUGGUCAAAAUUGGACACUUAAAAU
rfam:Oryza meridionalis cultivar OR44 (W2112) chromosome 9, whole genome shotgun sequence.